AAACCAGCACCUCAAGUGGUCAGGAUGAUUAUUGGGCCUAAAGCAUCCGUAGCCUGCUCUGUAAGUUUUCGGUUAAAUCUGUACGCUUAACGUACAGGCUGUCGGGAAUACUGCAGAGCUAGGGAGUGGGAGAGGUAGACGGUACUCGGGAGGAAGUGGUAAAAUGCUUUGAUCUCUCGAUGACCACCUGUGGCGAAGGCGGUCUACCAGAACACGUCCGACGGUGAGGGAUGAAAGCUGGGGGAGCAAACCGGAUUAGAAACCCCGGUAGUCC
rnacentral:rRNA from 1 species